GGGAUGAUAAUGACAGUACCGGGAGAAUAAGCCCCGGCCCCACUCCGUGCCAGCAGCCGCGGUAAUACGGAGGGGGCUAGCGUUGUUCGGAAUUACUGGGCGUAAAGCGCACGUAGGCGGUUACUCAAGUCAGAGGUGAAAGCCCGGGGCUCAACCCCGGAACUGCCUUUGAAACUAGGUGACUAGAAUCUUGGAGAGGCGAGUGGAAUUCCGAGUGUAGAGGUGAAAUUCGUAGAUAUUCUGGAAGAACACCAGUGGCGAAGGCGACUCGCUGGACAAGUAUUGACGCUGAGGUGCGAAAGCGUGGGGAGCAAACNGGAUUAGAUACCCUGGUAGUCCACGCCGUAAACGAUGAUAACUAGCUGUCCGGGCACAUGGUGUUUGGGUGGCGCA
rnacentral:rRNA from 1 species